UUAAAAACUGAAUAUCCUAUAAAAGUUGAAAAUUAAAAUCACAGCUUCUCUUUGUAAGAAAUGUAUGUAGAAAUGUGUUAAUGUUAAUUACUUAGAAGGGGUGUGUGUGUGUGUGUGUGUGUGUGUGUGUGUGUGUGUGUGUGUCUGUCUGUCUGUCUGUCUGUCUGCCUGUCUCUGUGUGCAUGCAUGUAUGUUGAGGCAGUGGUUUAUUUAUCCAGGUGGACAAAGGAUGAGCCAUGUGCUUUGUUUACAGGUGUAAUCAGACUCAACUCUUUCAUAGGCUUUUUAAGUGGUCUAAAGCACAAAAACCAAGAUUUUGUAAUAUUCAAUGUCUUCCUCAACAUUCUCAAGCUCUGACAUAGGAGCUGCUGUGACAAGUAGAUAGAUGAGGCACAGGAGAACACAAUCAAGGGCAUGCUUCAUUUCUUAAAUGUUGCAGAUAAUAUUUGAAAGCACUAUCCGUUGGAAGGGACCUAAAGAGAUAGUCACUGAAGCUAAUGUGAGAAAUAGCCAGACCCAGCACAGGAGCAUAGAAAAUAUGCUAUCUGAAGUUUUCUGCAGGGAACCACGACUACACCUAACAGUGACUUUGAAGUCUCCAAAAAGAUGAUGGGGCCCCACAAUGAUGAUUCCAUCAAGACAGUGAUAAUACCACUAAGAUGACAAACACCACCCAAAGAUUGGAUUUGGACUACAAACUGCUCAGGACAAUUUUGAGAUGACUAGCUGAGAUGAUCUAGCCUCACAGACUACUCAAGCAAGGCCUUGAGACAAGCUCUGUACUUUCCCAUUAUGCAGAGACUGGACAAAUUAUACAGCUAACUCUUGCAGGGCUUGACAACCCAAAAAAAAUUCUUUUCAGAAUCCCCUAAAGAUGCUUUCACUCCCAGACCACAGGAAGUAAUUUUAAGAACAUGACGUCCACAUUCCCAAAGGUGGGGUGGGUGGUUUUGGGUCUUUCAAUGGGUUAUGGAUAAUGGUCAUUGUUUAGGAUGGUUUGUUACAAGUUGCUAAUGGAUAAUGGUCAGGAAAAAAAGCUAAGCAAGGAGAUUAGAUUCAGGGUUCUUGUUUAAAAAAAGAAAAAGAAAAAAGAAGAUAUAGAUAAGAGGUAGAUUACUGAAUCUACUCUUUAAAAACUAUAUAGAAAUGAAAGAGGGAAAGGUAGAUUAUUGAAUCUACUCUGAAAAGAAGAAAAGAAUAAUAUAGAUACGAUAAGAUAAAAGGUAAAUUAUUGAAUCUACUCUGAAAAAAAAGAGAUAUAGAAAUAAUAGGAUAAAGGGGUAGGUUACUGAAUCUACUCUGAAAAAAAGAGGACAUGGAUCUGAUAAGAUAAAAUGGUAGAUUAUUGAAUCAACCUUUAAAAAGCAACUAAUAGUUUUAAAUGUUUUACAUUGGAUUGGAUUUUCGUAUAUUUUAUACAAAUUAUGUAUAUCGAUACAAAUUUGAGAUUGAUUUUUUUAGAAAAUACUGUACAUAUAUUUCUAAUCUUGUUCAAGAUAUUGUUCCUAUACACCUCAUUUAACAAUGUAAUACAAAUUGCUAGUCCUUGAAAGCUAUUAUUUCCAACUAUUUAGGAUAAUAAAGAAAUAUGUUAGUAGUCAUUACAAAUUAAUUUGUAGUUAUAUUAGGUAUGUUUUCAAGAUCAAGCAGAAAUAUAUUUUAGAUAGACAGGUCAUCUUCAAACACUUUAGAGAUCUACAGAAUAUGGCAUUUAAGAUGUUUUAAUAACAUAGAUUUCUUUUUCUUUUUUUAUGACAAUGAGACAUGUCUGCUCCUGGCAGCAACAAUCUGCUUCAGAGAAGACGAUGGGCAUUGAAGAAACUCCAUAUGGAGUUAACUUUCUUGGAGGCAAAGUUAGCCACUGGGCAAGAAAAUGCCCUUGCCUCGACUGCUGACAGUAUGCUGUGCAAAAUGGACAAAUAGGACACAAAAGAAAGGACAAAUCCUUGCCAAGUCAAGGUAGGAAGGCUCUUUAGAAAAUUCUGCUUCACAGAUUAAUCUGUCAGAUAUGCUAGGCCUGUAGGCUGAAGAUGGAUGCCAAUGUUGCAGAGAAAUCUUGGGUAAUUGUCCGGGAAGCCAGUUGUUUCUGUCAUUUCUCACACUUUUUGAAAGUUGCUUGUUUGUACUUCCUCCUUACUCAAUUAAUAUUAUUUCCUUCUCAGGUCUCUGAGGGAGUUGAAGAUUAGCUAGUUAAUAGUUUUCCUUGUUAACAAAUUUAGAAAAGAAACUCACUAAAGAGGUGUAAAGUGUAUAAAUUUGAAAGACAUCCAAAGAUAGUUUUCAGUUGGUAAUACAAAUUAGGGUAGAAUGUGAAUUAGGUACAAUAUUUUGUACUCACCAAAAUAGGAUAAAUAAUGGAGAUUUUGUUUGAAUUUGUCAACUACUAAUGGAGUGGACAUUGUUCAUGCAUGUAAUUCUUGACUAUAUAUAUUGUAUAUACUUACUGUACUUAUUGUAUAUAGUUUUUCUUAUAUUAGUUAUAACCUUCUUUUAUUAUUUUAGACAAAAAAAGGGGGAAAGUGGUGAUAUAUUGUGUACCCUAAUAAACUUAUCUGGGCAUCAGAGGACAGAACCAGCCACUAGAUUAGACAUAGAGACCAGACAGUGGUGGCAUAUACCCUUAAUUCCAGUACUUGAGAUCUCAUGCCUUUGCUUAGAAAGUGCCCAUGCCUUUAAUCCCAGGAAGUGACAUGGCUAAGUGGAGAAUGGUAUAUAAGGUGUGAGGAGACAGGAACUAACUAAGCAGCUGUUCAGCUGAGACCCUCAGGGGUGAGGAGUAAGAGGCUUUCAGUCUGAGGAUUCGUGGAAACAGGAUCAGCUGAGGAGUUGGCAAGCUGAGGUUGGCUGUGACUUGUUCUGCUUCUCAGAUCUUUCAGCUUU